rnacentral:lncRNA from 1 species
AAGAUAAUAUGCUUCAUUGGUGUUGUGUUUUGAAGUGUGAAAUGCAAAGUAAUUGUGAUAAAGUCAAGAUAAAGUUCACUUUUAAACUGAACUAAAUAAGGUAUCUGAGAGACAACAAUGGUUAAAUGCAAUACAAUGUACAGGUUUUACUAGCGAAAUGAAAAUUUUCCUGUCCUGUCUGCUGUAAUCAUUUUAUAUCUGGAAAACCAGCCGACUUAAUAGAUAAUAACAAUCUCCAGAUUGGGUUCCUUCAAUAAAUAUGGACUAUAAACACAAUGAAAUAAGUUCCCCAAAAUCUAAAAUGGAGUGCUAUCAAAGGAGAAUUAAAGGAAAAAA